rnacentral:lncRNA from 1 species
UCAGUUUGACAAGCUUUACUGGCUGCAGAUCUGGGUUACAGCUUCAUCAUGCCACAAGUGUAACAAAGAGUGGUCUGAGACCGUUCAAAUAUAGCUGUACACAACUCUAAACAUACUGUUGAUAUUUAGUUGACCCUAAGAGAAAUCCAUGUACGGUAAAAACAAAGGACAACAUAUUUUAAAAAGCCUUAGGUGAACAUGUGGAAGGUCCCAAGAAGGAAAUACCAUAGCAAAACAUAUUUUGGGGACCUAAUAUAAUGUAAAUAAUGUGUACAGGGUUCCUCGGUCAGGGAUGGUUGUCGGAGGCCCCCGUCUCCAGCAAUCUAACACCAAAGUGUCUGGGGUAUUUGAGUGACACAGCUCCAACACUCUAGAGGCUAAUAUGACUGGCUGAAGAAACUCAUCCCAACAACAAUACAAUAUGAUACUGGGUAAAACACUGUGAUGGGUUGUACUCUACAUUCUAUUAUCCCCUUAUGGAAAUCUGUCUCAGACUCGAGUGCCGCUCAUGCUCAGCAGCCUCCACAGUAACAAGAAUAGAUUAAACAAACGAAUAUAAGUGUUAAAACUAACUAUAACCUUUUAUGUCAAGAGAACUCGAAACAACGAUAACACAACAAACAAGCAACAUGUACUGCGCAAGAGACAGAAGACAAAAACAUCAUAAAACUAUAUUCCUACAUUUUCAUACAUCAUGACCGACAAGAACCUCACACAACCACGCUUGAAAAAAUGACAAAAUUACAGACAUCUGGUCUAAAAUAUCAGCUGGUUAACUUGUGAUUCCUUUCAGGGGUCAAAGGUCAAGAAUUUGCCCGGUAGUUUGGGGUUAAAUGUGUGUCUGGUUUCUUGGUUUGUGAGUGUUGAAAAUAAUUCACUCAACUUUGACAGGUCAGCAUGCAAAGUGUAUUUUAGAGAGCCAGACCUGUCCCUGGGACUUUGUGGAGAAAAAGAGGACCUGGACAAACAUUCAGCAGGUGUAAGAUUCAAUACUUGCCCGUAUUCAUCUGUAGGUUUGCAGACGAACUGUUUGUUUCUGCUGCCCCCAUGUGUUAAAAUCUGUUAUUACAGGUUCUGUCUGUUCUCGCACAAACCUUUUGAACCUUUUGAAGAAUUUCUUGUAAACCCAGCUAUUUAAGGACCCCACCUUGCAAGGUUAUUGCUUUUUAAGGACCCAGUCUUUAAAGGACCCAUCUAUUGAAGGAUCUAGCUGAUGAAGGUCCAAGCCUUUGAAAGUCCAUAGCUGCGUCCGAAUUGCCAAGUAGUAGUCGAAGUAGUAUCUAGCAUGUCCGAAUUGGCCACCGGAGCGAGUAGCAUGCUACUUCAGAUACUACUUCAGAUGCUAGACAUGCCCACAUUGUAGGUUGGUCUCGGUGCAUCCUACGGGCAUGCUACUGACCCAAAAUGCACCGCGGGCUUCUUCUUCGUCCUCUUAAAAGUUGUAGAAGCGCAUGUGAUGCUAGCGCCACCAUCUGCUUCCUAUUUAGAUGCGUCGCGAACGCCGGCUGGCCACAGCAGCGCGCACCAUGUCGGAGCAGCAGCAGCAGCAGGCGGGACCGCAGCAGUACAGAUGUAAGUUUCAUGUAACUUCACACACUGUCCUAAAAAAUGUGCGGUUGUAUUUCUUUGUCAUGUCAUGGUGUCAUAUUUGCCCAAGUAAUCAUUUUAUGAGCAAGUGGCGACAUCAUGGAGGUAAAGCUCACUUAUUCCAUCAUUAAACUGCACAGCUGCAGUACUACAGCCAGGCCCGCAGAUGAAGGGCUUCAGUUACCACUGUCUGCACGGGCGCAGUACCUACUCUCUGCCUGCGGGGGUCGUCUUUCCCCACCGCUCGUGUAGUGUGUCCGAAUUGGGCCAACGUUUUUAGUAUGUAGGAGUAGGAUCUAGCAGUAGCACGUAGCAGUAGCAUGUAGUAUCCGAGCGGGCAGUUCGGACGCAGCACAUGUCUUUUAGAGGCCCAGCCUCAGCUAGACCUGUAUUCUGAAGGACCCAGCCUUUGAAGGGCUGAGCUUUGGAGGAUUUUGUCUUUUGAGGACCCAGUUUUUUAAGUUCUUAGCUGUCAGAAAAUAAAUUCUUGCAGUCAGCUGAGAAGGACAACAGAGAGUGUAGUCUUUGUCUUUAAAUCUUUUACUUUGAAGGAGUCAACACCUUAAAACAAAGUGGUAAGCAGUAAAACAAUAACCAAGUAUGGCAAAGGUUGAAUUUGUGGUCGAUGCCAGCAGAUCACAGAGAGCCUCGCGGUUCAUCAGGUUCCUGCUUAUCAAGUCAAAAGUCACACUGUUCUGAAAACAACCUGUAAGUUAAAUGAAAACAUUUAUUAAGUUGCAUAAGUUCAGUGGAAAAGUUCAGACAGUGAGUUAUGAGUUCAGUAAAAAAAUACAAAUGUUAGUUAACAACAGCCAUAACUUAAAGGUCACAGCGUUGUAAAUGCCUCAACAUCCUCACUUCUUUUUCACGUGUUCAUUGUCUAAAAGAAGCAGAUAUAAUCUUACAAGCAUUCACACAAAGUGAUUUUCAGUAAAUGAUGAUAACAUACACAUACAAUUUUUCUUUCACUGGCUUUUCAAGGACCCAGCUUUUAAAAGACUCUGCUUUUGCAGUAUUUUUAUUAAUCCAGAGGGCAUCUGAUUUUUCCCCGUUACAUGGCAGUUCAAUUAUUAGACAUUAAAUCAAUACUAGAUUGGUCUCAUAUAUGAAUAUCUAGAAUUAGAGUUGUCAUUUCAGGGACACCAACUUCUGCAGGAAAACUAAAAGACAAAAACUUUAAAUAAAUGGUGAAAUUAUGAGAGAAUGCUUAUGUUUAUACGCAGAUGCAAUAAAUAAUAAGAAAAUAAUGAUAAUUGAUACACAAUUCUGUGAAUGGAUACAUGAACAUUUUGAGGUGAGUCGUAAUUAUUGAGGUUAAUGAUAGUAAAUGAACAUGAACGUGUUAACAGUGGUCUGCAGAUAGCUUUGGGUAAGAAUUUGGCUCUUUUUGGGUAAAAAGUCCAGUCAACAAUUUCUACAAACUCUGAACACAUGCGACGGCAUCAACCCUUUUGUUCUUAGGAGAUUGAUUGGUUUGCCUACUUGUUUGAUGAUGAUUCUCAAGAGGACUCUUGGAGCAGUUCUGCAUGAGGUCCAGGCCUCUGGCAAGAUUAGGUCAUAUACAAAAACAGUUCCCCAUCCUAAGGAAACAUUUCAGUUGACAAUGAACCCAAAAAAGACGCCACCAGGAGGAGCUGUUGAUCUCUGAAAAAGUUGGAUUGAAUGUGAGACAAUGCUUUCUGUGCUUUUGAACCGCCUAGAAGUAUAGGAUGAAGGCCGUUUUACUGCAAAUGUUGUGUGAAGACAAGAAAUCAUCAUAAGGCCCAUCAAACAUGUGCAUUCAGCCUGCUGUUGUUCCUCUUUCCUAAACACGAGGACAAACAUCUUAAUCCAAUCUGACUGGAGUCUGGGUUCUGGGGCUGAAUGUUCCAAUGAUUAACAACUU